rnacentral:rRNA from 1 species
AUUGAACGCUGGCGGAAUGCUUUACACAUGCAAGUCGAACGGCAGCACGGGGCAACCUGGUGGCGAGUGGCGAACGGGUGAGUAAUACAUCGGAACGUGCCCAAUCGUGGGGGAUAACGUAGCGAAAGUUACGCUAAUACCGCAUACGAUCUACGGAUGAAAGCGGGGGAUCGCAAGACCUCGCGCGAAUGGAGCGGCCGAUGUCAGAUUAGGUAGUUGGUGGGGUAAAGGCUCACCAAGCCAACGAUCUGUAGCUGGUCUGAGAGGACGACCAGCCACACUGGAACUGAGACACGGUCCAGACUCCUACGGGAGGCAGCAGUGGGGAAUUUUGGACAAUGGGCGCAAGCCUGAUCCAGCCAUUCCGCGUGCAGGAUGAAGGCCUUCGGUUGUAAACUGCUUUGUACGGUACGAAACGGUACUGCCCUAAUACCGGUAGGCGUAAUAGACGGUACCGUAACGAAUAAAGACAACCGGCUAACUACCGUAGCCAGCAGCCGCGUAAGUAU